rnacentral:snoRNA from 1 species
AUUCCAUGAUGGGGACAUUCUAGGAUGCAGUCUUGGAAGCGCUCCCAUGCUUCUGGAAAAAAUAAGUCU